UGUUCACAACAGUACAGGAGACGGUCAGGCCAUGGUGGUAGACACCGGCUGUUCACACCAGUACAGGAGACGGUCAGGCCAUGGUGGUAGACACCGGCUGUUCACACCAGUACAGGAGACGGCCAGGCCAUGGUGGAAGACACCGGCUGUUCACACCAGUACAGGAGACGGCCAGGCCAUGGUGGAAGACACCGGCUGUUCACACCAGUACAGGAGACGGCCAGGCCAUGGUGGAAGACACCGGCUGUUCACACCAGUACAGGAGACGGUCAGGCCAUUGUGGAAGACACCGGCUGUUCACACCAGUAUAGGACACCGCUAUUGUGAACAUGGUGGUGGCAUACAAUACCAUUAGACUACAAGAAAUCCAGAAGCACAUAAUUGCAGACACAAUAUUCAAUAACAUUCACCAGGUGGGCUUGUCUACAUUGGACCGUGUAUUACAGAGCAACUGAAUCCAGAUGAAACAGGUCUACAAGGUGCAUUUGAACGAAAGUCAGAGAGGGUUAAAGAACAGUGUUACGAAUAUGUGCAAAGAGUCGUGGAGCUGGAUGCCGCUGCAAUUCAGCACGUUUAUAUUUACAUUGAUGAGGCAGGCUUCAACCUAUCCAACAAAAAUGGAAUGGGAACGGACCAUUUUUGACCACCGUGCCAUUGAGAAUGUCCAUGGACAGUGUGGAGGGAAUAUCACCAGCCAGCAAGGCGUCCUCCAUCACCAUGCCAACCUUGGUCCCUACAACACUGCCCUUCUCAUCACAUUCCUGGACACACUACAUGGCAUCCUCAUUCCAGGCGAGCAGAGGGGUGGACCAGAGCAGCCCAGGUAUAUUGUCAUCUGGGACAACGUGAGUUUCCACCGGGCUGCUCUGGUCCGCAACUGGUUCAUCGAUUACCCAGAAUGUAUUGUUCUAUACCUCCCCAUUCCUAAACCCAAUUGAAUAGUUCUUCUCGGCAUGGCGAUGGAAGGUGUAUGACCGCCAUCCCCUCACACGCAACCCUCUUCUCCAGACAAUGGAGGAUGCAUGUGGUGAAGUUGACGUGGUGGCUUUCGGCGGCUGGAUCCGUCACUCCAGAUGAUUCUUUCCCCGAUGUGUAGCCAGGGAGAACAUCACUUGUGAUGUAGAUGAGGUGCUGGGGCCAGACCAAAAUAGGAGGCAGGAUGCUGCCUAAUGUCUUUUUUUUUUUUCAUGUGUUUUUGUCUUUUUUUUGUUUAGAGUUUUGAAAGAAUGAGACACUUUUAUUUUUUAUUUUUGUACAAGUGUUCAAAAAUACAGCAUUUUGGAAAUAAAUGACACUGUUUUUGUUACUGUAGGUGCAGGUGUGUGUUUAUGUAUGUAUAUUUGAGUAGGUAUACAUUACUGUAACAAUCUUUUAUAACCGGCUACAGUGUAAAACUGAACAUGCAAAAGGCAUAAAACUACUGAUGGGA